GUAAAGGUGUCUUUAGACACCACCUUUUUCUUUGAAAUUUUUUGU
rfam:Picea glauca, whole genome shotgun sequence.